UAGGGGAGUCGGGGCUCGGAUCCCCUCCCCAAGCUCAGGGUAACUUUUGAAGUGGAGGGGAC
rfam:Ictidomys tridecemlineatus contig101539, whole genome shotgun sequence.